rnacentral:lncRNA from 13 species
AUGGACCCCUCUGGAAAACCUGGAAACUUCUGGGUGGGAUUGGAAACGUUGGGAAUUCUCCCGACCCGUUCCAGACGUGCUCCAGGAAGGUUUGGUUGGGAUAAAACCUCUGGGAAACCUCUGGAAACUUGGGAAAGAGUUGGGAGAUGUCCUGAUGGACCCCUGGAAUUCCCUGCUCCUUCCCAAGCUCCAGGAGGGGAUUUAAGCGGAAUGAACCCUCUGGAAAAGCGGGAAUCCUCCCUGUGGUUGGGAUCCCCACCCGGGGCCGCUCCCGGCAUUCCCGAUUUUCCGGCUGAUCCCGGAUUCCCGCAGGUCCGUGGGGGUCGAGGUUCACACGGCCGAGGGCUCCAGGCCCGGAGCAGCUCCCGGAGCUUCCCUGCCCAGCGGAUCCCCCGGCCCUUCCCUGCCCCUGGAGCUGGAGGAGCUGCAGGAGACCGAGAUCAGCUUUGUGAGUGUUUUCCAAGGAAAAACCGGGAAUUCCGAGGGAUUUGGGAGGGACUGGGGGGGGGUUUGGAUCCCGGGAUGUGGGAGUGGAGUGGGAUCGGCUCCUCCCUCCUUCCCAAAGCUCAGCCGGGAAAAUUCCAGGGUCCUGGGGAGCCCCAAAUCCCUGGAACUGGAGGAAAAGGAGGAAAAUCCCUCAUUCCCAAAGGUCUGGAAUAUCCCACAUCCCAUCCUGAGCAUUCCCAGACUCUCCCGUUUCAAUCCCAAUGGAUUCAACUGCCCCCAAAUCCCUGGAAUUGGCUGAAAAGGGGGAAAACCUCUCAUUCCCAAGGCCUGCAACGAGCCUGGAAUAUCCCAAAUCCCAUCCCGAGCAUUCCCAGCUUUUCCAUCUUCAAUCCCAGCGGGAUUUGGGAUAAUCCUGGGCUCCCCCUCCUCUCCCAGGGGGGAAAUUUUCGGGAAAGGCCCCGAAUAUUCCAUAGGGCAAUUCCCAACUUUCCCCUCGUUCCCUGUUUCUCUCUUCCCAGUGAAGCGGUGCCGACGGCUCCCGGAUGGAAUCCCAAAAAUCCCUUGAAUUCCCACUUUUCCACCAAUCCUGGGAGCUGGAAGACCGGGAAUCCCCUUGGAAAACCGGGAAUGGCACCUGGGAAAAACAUCGGGAUUCCCCUGGAAUUCUCGGAGCUGCCGCUUUCCUUGGAAAAGCGAGGAAGAGGAGCUGCUCCAGCGAAGGGAUGAAACCCUUGGGAAGAGGGAGCUGAAACUUCCCAGGAAUUCCUGAAUUUUGGGAUAAAAGGGGGGUGAAUUCCUGGAAAAUUCCCAGCGGGAAUCGGAGCCGCGCCGGGAAUUGGUUUGGGGUUUUUUUUUUUGGUAUUUUUAUCCCGAUUUUUUUGGAAGUUCCUUUGGAUCCGAUCCCAGUUUUUAGUCCUGCAGGAAUUCUUGGGAUUAUUAAUUAUUAAUUAUUAUUUUUUAUUGAUAAAUCGGGAUUUGUUCCGGCUUUUCCAAGGAAAAAUCCCAGGGAAAACAGGGAAAAAGAGGAGCAGAAAUCAUGGAAAAGCUCCUGGCUCCUCCUCCCUUUUCCCAGCAGGAUUUUUGGGAAGCUUUUCCCACAAUCAGGGAAGAAUUUGGGGACUUUUUGGGGAUUUUUUGGGAUCUUCAGAAGCCGAGCCCUUCCUGGGAUUUGCAGCCCUGUUUUUUUAAGGAUUUCCCUCAAAAAUCCCGGAUCAAAUCCCAGUUUUCCGAGCCCCAAAUCCCAUUUUUUAGAGCUUGGCUCUGAGAUUCCCACAAAAUCCCCGCCUCCCACAAAACUCCAGCUGCGUUCGGAGCAGAUUUUGGGAUGGGGAAAAAAGCUGGAAUGAGGAAUUUUCCACCUGGAUCCAUCUCAAAUCCCAAAAUCCCGGAGCAGCCCCUCGGACUGGAGCUGACUUUGCACUCCAUCCCUGGUUUUUUUUUAUGGAAAAAAACGACUUUUCCCAAGAUUCCCGCUUGGAAAACUCCCAGCUUUUUAUAAAAAACCCGGAAUUUCGAGCUUUCUAUGCCGAAGAAAUCGUGGAAUGUAGAGCAGGAAGGGAAUUUUUUCCGGGAGAUUCCCAAGGCUCUUCCCACUUUCCCCUUCUCCAUAUUUUUUUAAGGAAAAGCUGUUUUCUCCCCCCCCCUAAAAUCCCGGAUUUUUCCCUCAAAACCCCCCCUGGAAUGGCCUUAUCCCGGGAAUCCGGAGCUGGUUGGAUCUCAAGGGCUCUCAGCAAUUCCCACCUGGAUUUUCCAAGAUUCCCAGAGGAAAUUUGGGGAAGAUUCCGUUGGAUUUUCCCCUUUUCCCGUGGAUUUUCCCCUUUUCCCUUGGAAUAACUGUCUAUAUUAGACAUUCCCUUCCCAAUCCCUGUUUAUUCCCAUUUUUUAUCGGACCAGGAGGGGGAAAACCGACCCGAUUUUCCCGAUUUUCCCGAUUUCUUUUCCCCCCCCCCAGGAUCGAAUAUUUAUGAAGUAUUUAAAUAUUUCGGGAUGCUUCCCCUUUUUCCUGGGAAUUCUCCUCCUCCGGAGGCUGGGCCAGGCUGGGAUGUUCUGGGCUGGGGUUGGUUGCGUUUUUUUGGUAUCUGCCUGUUCCAGAGGGGCCGGAAUGGGGAAGGGUUUGGGAAUUCCGGGGAGGAUUUUCCAGGAGAUAAAAGAGAGUAUUUGGCUCCUCCGAGGACAGAUGGACUUUCCUUGGAAUUGGGAAUGGAAUUCAUGGGAUUUUCGUGCCUGGCCGGGAAUUUCUGUCACCUCACCCGGGAGAAUCCGGUGCCUCCGGAGCGGCUCCGGAUCGUGGACGGACUUUCCCUGGAAUGGGGAUGGAAUUUUCCUGGCCUGGGGAUGGAAUUCAUGGAAUUUUCCUGGCCUGGGAGCGGACUUCCCGGGAAUUAAAGUCCCCGUUGUCCCCUCACGGAGCCGCCGGCCCCGGGAGGAUCCGAUGCCGAUGGAUUUCUCCUGGAUUGGGGAUGGAAUUCCUGGAGUUUCCUGCCCGCUCGGGAGCCGCCGUCGCCGCCGUCCCCUCGGGCCACGCCGGGAGCUCGGCCCCGGGCUGGACCUGCCCUGGCCGGGGGGCGGUGGAGCCCAGGGGGUGUUCCCGGACUGGGACUGGACUGGGACUGGACUGGGACUGGACUGG